UACGAGAGGCCCAAACGUUAUUCGGAAUUACUGGGCUUAAAGAGUUCGUAGGCGGCGCAGAAAGUCGGGUGUGAAAGCCCUCGGCUUAACCGAGGAAUUGCGCUCUAAACUACUGUGCUUGAGGAACCUAGAGGUGAGCAGAACUGAUGGUGGAGCGGUGAAAUGCGUAGAUAUCAGGAGGAACACCUGCGGUGUAGACGGCUUACUGGACCAUAACUGACGCUGAGGCACGAAAGCGUGGGUAGCAAACAGG
rnacentral:rRNA from 1 species